ACCCUACUGGUGUAUCGGUUAACAUGGCGGAUUCUCAAACUCGAGUCUUCCGCAGCGCAGGGUUCAACUCCCUGGUAGGGUA